AUGCAUGUGUUUGGCUUGAUGACCAAUGCUAGCACACUGCCUGAACUGGAGGAAGUUAUCCUGAGUGCUACAGUGGUGUUCUCCAGCCCUCAGAGUGAUGGAAAUGUUGAAAAAUACUUCAACAAUCUCCAAACAAUGCUGACUAGAGUUGGGGAUUCAGCGGAUGUACACAUUGUGCCUAAGGACUUUCAGAAUGAUGUUCCACUCAGCCCAUUCCAGACACAUUUCCAAGGAAUCAUCAACAGGGCACCUCUGGACCAUAAUGGUGACCCUAAUGUUUACUUUUCAGAGAUAUUCAUCCCUUCACUGGCAAGAUAUUUCUUGCCACAGUCUGCCCUAUGGACCAGCCUAAUGCUGGGUAGGUUAUACAUAAAAAAUAGUAACAAUGGAAACAUUGCAGUUUGUAUGUUUGCAGCUCCGAGGUAAUGUUCUUCACACAACCUCCUGUAUUUGGAAUUUAAAGUUGUAAACCUUUUCUUUCCAAUUUGAAGGUGACCUUGGAAGGCAUGGGACAGAUUCUUCGUAUAAGAAAUAUUCAAAGAUGUUCACUGAAGUCAGCCAAAAAAAAUCACAGGUAUGGUACAAGGGAGUGAGCUAUUUACAUAAAUAGGUCAGUUUAUAUAUGCAGCCACGUAAUAUGAAUAAUAUCAAAUUCAUUUAGAUUAGUCGAGAAUGUAAUCAACAGUAUAGCAUUGCAAGCAAAAUUAACAUGUGGUCAAUGUUUACUAACAGAACUUUACAUGUGACAACAAAACCCAGGGAAUAAUGGAGAAAAGCCAGUGGGACCUCAAGCGCAUUCCAAAGAUUUAUUAUUCCAAAGAUGCAAAAUCACUAGACUUGAUGAUUUUGUGGAAGUUUAUCAAAAGAGCCACAAUUCACUGCUGAGGGAAUUCAGUGACACUGUACGGACAAGGAAAACCAAGGUUGGUGUUCAUGUAUGGUGUUAUAAAAUCUUAAUUGAUAUUUGAAGUUGUUGUGUUAUUAAGGCUACUCAAUUUCUUAAAUACACCAAAUGUACCUAAAUUGAAUGCAUGAUACAGAUUUCUUAAUGGAAUCAGGAAAUAUCUUUUAAAAACCAAAAAUUAUGCUAUGAUCCAUGUUUUAUUUAUUGUCUUAUUGUCAAUGUCAUAUAUUAUUUGUCAGGCACAUCGAGUGGAGGUUGAAAAGUGGAAAGAAAGGCAACAAAAAAAGAGGGGUGUCUAUGCGUCUCCUAUUGCAAAGCCACUCAUUUUCAAAAAGAAAGUAUCAAAGGUAAAGAGUUUUACCAUGUAAAACAUGUACUGACAAAUUAGUAUCAGCUCUAGAAAAAGCUGGUGCUCACUUUUUGUUAUGUAAUCGUUUAUACGCUUAAAUGUUUCACCUUUAAGAAACAUUGUUCUAAUCUACUCUAAGCAUCUGACAUUUAAUUAUAUGAUAAAACAGAGCACUCAGGAAAAGUCCAUCCUUACAUCUCCAUGCACAAUUGAUGAGCUACUUUUGAGACAUGAGGAGGGAGAAGAAAUUUGUACUGGCUCUUCCAAGGUUUGUUUGGUGUAAACCACAAAUAAUGAUAUUGCAGGCAUUUCAGGAAAUAUACUUCAGCUGCGCUGUAUGUUAGUAAUGCUCAACCAUGUACCCUAACAUAUAGUUAUUAGUACAACAUUUCAUUUAAAUAAUUUCUUAACAUAUCGUUGUAGUGUUUUCACAAUGCUCAGAUUCUAUAAAGCCACAGUUUGCUCCAUUACAGGAGGACUACAGUAGCCUUGUUCCUAUUUCCAGCAUAUACCAAAUAUAUGUUAUGUUAUGUCAGGGAAAGGUUGUGGCUUUGUGGUCACCAAUAAAAGCAAACAAUGAGAUUUUUUUUUACUGAAGGUGUACCCAUGAAUGUGACUGGUUGCAAAGUUUAGUGAAAUGUUCAAAUCUAAAUGAGAUCUGCUGACUUCUAUCCCAAUGUACUAUAACAGGGCAACUGAAAACUGCAUUUACAUCAUUGAAGGACACAAGGCCGACCAGGGAGCCUAAACCAAAAGACAAAAAGUAAAGCAUUCCUUUAGAGGUAAAAUAGAUUAGAUUGAAUCCAGUCAUACUCUAAUUUGAAUGAGUAGGAGGUAAGAUUCAAGAAUAAACAAAUAAAUAGACCAAAUGCAAUUAAGUAAUAUACAUUUUGCAUUAAAAUGCAGAAUAUUUAUUAUUACAACUGAAUUUCUAGUUGUAAUUAUGGUAUAUGGUUUGUUCUUAUAUAUCCAGCUCCGGAAAACAUUAAGAGACCACUGCACCUUUUUCUUUCCUUUCCAA
ensembl:lncRNA